rnacentral:tRNA from 1 species
CAAAAAGUAGUUUAAAAAAAAAUAAUAAUUUUGGAGAUUAUAGAUAAAUAUAAAAUAUUUUUUUUUGA